rnacentral:rRNA from 1 species
GGGUUGUGAGGUUAAGCGAACAAGCGUACACGGUGGAUGCCCUGGCAGUCAGAGGCGAUGAAGGACGUGCUAAUCUGCGAAAAGCGCCGGUAAGGUGAUAUGAACCGUUAUAACCGGCGAUGUCCGAAUGGGGAAACCCGGUGCACUUCGGUGCAUCAUCGUUAGCUGAAUACAUAGGCUAACGAGGCGAACCGGGGGAACUGAAACAUCUAAGUACCCCGAGGAAAAGAAAUCAACCGAGAUUCCCCCAGUAGCGGCGAGCGAACGGGGAACAGCCCAGAGCCUGAAUCAGCUUGUGUGUCAGUGGAACGGUCUGGAAAGGCCGGCGAUACAGGGUGACAGCCCCGUACACGAAGGCACACAGGCUGUGAGCUCGAUGAGUAGGGCGGGACACGUGAUAUCCUGUCUGAAGAUGGGGGGACCAUCCUCCAAGGCUAAAUACUCCUGACUGACCGAUAGUGAACCAGUACCGUGAGGGAAAGGCGAAAAGAACCCCGGCGAGGGGAGUGAAACAGAACCUGAAACCGUGUACGUACAAGCAGUGGGAGCCUUCGUAAGAGGGUGACUGCGUACCUUUUGUAUAAUGGGUCAGCGACUUAUAUUCUGUAGCAAGGUUAACCGUAUAGGGGAGCCGAAGGGAAACCGAGUCUUAAUUGGGCGUUAAGUUGCAGGGUAUAGACCCGAAACCCGGUGAUCUAGCCAUGGGCAGGUUGAAGGUUGGGUAACACUAACUGGAGGACCGAACCGACUAAUGUUGAAAAAUUAGCGGAUGACCUGUGGCUGGGGGUGAAAGGCCAAUCAAACCGGGAGAUAGCUGGUUCUCCCCGAAAGCUAUUUAGGUAGCGCCUCGUGAACUCAUCUCCGGGGGUAGAGCACUGUUUCGGCUAGGGGGCCAUCCCGGCUUACCAACCCGAUGCAAACUGCGAAUACCGGAGAAUGUUAUCACGGGAGACACACGGCGGGUGCUAACGUCCGUCGUGAAGAGGGAAACAACCCAGACCGCCAGCUAAGGUCCCAAAGUCAUGGUUAAGUGGGAAACGAUGUGGGAAGGCCCAGACAGCCAGGAUGUUGGCUUAGAAGCAGCCAUCAUUUAAAGAAAGCGUAAUAGCUCACUGGUCGAGUCGGCCUGCGCGGAAGAUGUAACGGGGCUAAACCAUGCACCGAAGCUGCGGCAGCGACACUAUGUGUUGUUGGGUAGGGGAGCGUUCUGUAAGCCUGUGAAGGUGUGCUGUGAGGCAUGCUGGAGGUAUCA